rnacentral:rRNA from 1 species
GUAGAAUUUCAGGUGUAGCGGUGAAAUGCGUAGAGAUCUGAAGGAAUACCGGUGGCGAAGGCGGCCCCCUGGACAGAUACUGACACUCAGAUGCGAAAGCGUGGGGAGGCAAACAGGAUUAGAUACCCUGGUAGUCCACGCUGUAAACGAUGUCUACUUGGAGGUUGUGGCCUUGAGCCGUGGCUUUCGGAGCUAACGCGUUAAGUAGACCGCCUGGGGAGUACGGUCGCAAGAUUAAAACUCAAAUGAAUUGACGGGGGCCCGCACAAGCGGUGGAGCAUGUGGUUUAAUUCGAUGCAACGCGAAGAACCUUACCUACUCUUGACAUCCAGAGAAUCUAGCGGAGACGCUGGAGUGCCUUCGGGAACUCUGAGACAGGUGCUGCAUGGCUGUCGUCAGCUCGUGUUGUGAAAUGUUGGGUUAAGUCCCGCAACGAGCGCAACCCUUAUCCUUGUUUGCCAGCGAGUAAUGUCGGGAACUCCAGGGAGACUGCCGGUGAUAAACCGGAGGAAGGUGGGGACGACGUCAAGUCAUCAUGGCCCUUACGAGUAGGG